rfam:Glarea lozoyensis 74030 unplaced genomic scaffold M7I_scaffold10, whole genome shotgun sequence.
AGCAAUGUGGCGCAGCGGAAGCGCGCCGGGCUCAUAACCCGGAGGUCCCUGGAUCGAAACCAGGCAUUGCUA